AAGGUGAAGACAUUUUACUCCCUCCACAUUUACAGCCACAAAUACAAAAUAUUCUAAAUACCCUUGAACCUAGCCGAACAUUCAAAGAAAUCUACCAAACGCACCGCCAACAAGCCAAACAAGGUCAUUCGAGGAUAGAUUAGGCCAGCCAAAACCUCGCCAACACUUUUUCGUUGAGAGACCAUACCGAUGGUUCAUUGACAAGCCAAAAACAAGUUGACCCCGCCGAUUUUGACUCAUCUUCGCUAGUUUUCACCAUAUUUAAGGUGUAAACACUGGAAAAUGGCACAUAAGAGAUUCUGUGUCAAUGAGCUGGAUGGUGAGUUUAAGUUCUACAUGGCCCAUAAGGUUUAAGGCCAUGUGACUAUCAGAGUGCACCUAGACGCGGUUGAGAGGAUCCACUCUAACCUAAAUAUAACUAAGAGAGAAAUGUUCAGAGCAACACAUUUUGGUCAUUUUUUAGGCAUGGAAGAACAUCCAUAUAACUCAAUACUUAUGCACUCAAUCUUGUUCUGUCUUAUAAAUCAAGGUUAAUACUUGGAGUCUUCAACUGAAGUCCAGCAGUCAAGUCAAAGACAAUAGAUGGUACCACAAAUGCAAAUUGGUUUUGUUUUGCCAUGUACGAGAGGCUGGAUAAUGAAAACUUUAUGGUUAUGGCCGGAGUAAAGAGUGUUCUAUAAUUUUAUAUCUAUGUUAUAUCCUAUAUAAAUUAAUUAUGCAUAUAAACUAAACUUGUAUUAAAUA